rnacentral:rRNA from 1 species
GGUUGAAGCAUGACCGUAAGGACAUGUGGACAGUAUGGGAGUGAGAAUGUUGGCAUGAGUAGCGAGAUGUGGGUGAGAAUCCCACAGGCCGUAAACCCAAGGUUUCCAGGGGAAGGGUCGUCCGCCCUGGGUUAGUCGGGACCUAAGCUGAGGCCGAAAGGCGUAGGUGAUGGACAACAGGUUGAUAUUCCUGUACUACCGAUAACCGUUUGAGAGAGGGGAUGACACAGUAGGAUAAGCUAAGCACACUGUUGGUUAUGUGUGCCCAAGCAUUGAGGCAGUCAAAGUAGGCAAAUCCGCUUUGAUAAUGCUGGGAUGUGAUGGGGAGCGAAAUUUAGUAGCGAAGUAGCUGAUUUCACACUGUCAAGAAAAGUCUCUAUCGAGGUUAAAGGUACCCGUACCGCAAACCGACACAGGUGGGUGAGGAGAGUAUCCUAAGGCCAGCGAGAGAACUGUUGUUAAGGAACUCGGCAAAAUGACCCCGUAACUUAGGGAUAAGGGGUGCCACCAUCAGGUGGCCGCAGAGAAUAGGCCCAAGCGACUGUUUACCAAAAACAUAGGUUUCUGCUAAGUCGCAAGACGAUGUAUAGG